AUUCAACCCAUUGAGCAAACCAGCGUGAGAGGCUGCACAUCAGUAUUCAAGACGCAAAACGAGGAGCUGCGGGAAGGAGCCUGCUGCAGCAAGAAGCAGGGACAGAGAGUGCUUUCCCAGGGGCAAUCCCUGCAUGCCCUGCCCAGCCCCUGCACUCUGGGGUCACUGUAGGAGGUGACCAGGCUUGCAGUGCUGGAGCAGGGCGCCUUUGAGACAGAGCAUCAGAAGGACUGCCAGCACCGGCAUUAGAGCCAUCUGAGACAGGAAUCAUCUCCGUAACCAACUCGGCCUCCUUGCACUCUGCUGCUGGGCUGUGACCAUGACACUCCGGAUCCUCAUCUUCUCAAAGAUCAAAGAUUUAUCUUGUGGCCUCAGGCUACCUGCAGGUCCUGCCAGAGCCUUCAGCUCUUGUUGAGUGCUUUUUGCUCUGUUUGCACAAUUCAGAAAGCUUCAGACUCUGUAUUUUGCACUUUUGACCUGUUUGUUUUGAUGGCUCUUUAAGUCAGAUUCUUAUUUACAGGCAAGCUUUGUUUUGCCAGCUGAGUGGCUACUUCUAACAUACACGAUGUGACCUGCAGGCUUGAGCUUUCAAAUAGAUCUUGCAUUAAGCUGCACUGGAAGUCAACAGCGAUAGAAAUUCUUGAAAUGAAGCAGCACAAGUGCAGUGGUUUCUCCAGGUCCAUGGUGCACAGCUGCCCUCAUGUUUGAUCAGCACACACCAUUCUGGUCCAAAUCCCCACAGCUGCAUAGCCAGCAGCCAUUCCUCCACUCCCUGCUCAUCGUCUCUGUCAGGCAAUUUCAAGCAGCACGUCAAAACCUUCAUGUUCUUUCUUCAAAGUGGGUGUGGAUUAACAUGAUCCUGGUAGUUAUCAUCAGAGGCUUAAAUGCCUGUUGGAAGUGCUGUACGAGUUGUUGAGCUCUCAGCCCCAUGUUCUGACCAUUUCCAACGGGUGCAGGAGAAAACAUGCUGUCACAAUUCAAGGCCAUUUUUUCCUAAAAGCAAACUCUGCUUCCCUCGGAUUUUCUUCUUUAUGAUUCGAAGCUGACCUGUAAGAGGUGUCCUCAGACUGGGCAGUAAAAUUCACAGACUCUCCUGGGCUAAGAGAAGGGGAUGACAGCACCAUGAAUAUGUAGAUUAUUGGUUAUACUGGCAGUCGCUCUCCCUUUGUCAUCUUUUUGUUCUUGUUGCUUAGGGAGUGGUUGAAUACUUCCCAAUAAACUCUGCUCCAGAGGCAGGACCACUGCUGGAGGCAUUGACCUCUUUCAGAGGUACAAUGUACCUUUCAGAGGUACAGAAAGUCAGUGGCAUCGUGCAGAGAUUGACAGGGCAAAAAAAGAGGUUCUGAAGAUCAGUCUGCCAGUGUGUGUGAGUAGCAGUUCAGGCCCUCUUUAUUUGGGAUUGCUAUCGUUUCACAAAAGAAUUGUUCUUUCUCUGGGACCAGGGAAUAGUUCCCAUAAUUAGAACCUGUUGGUGUGUUUUAAGUUGUUAAAAAACUACAAUAAGAAUGGAAGGAUUAUUGCCCUUUCACCUUGUGUGGGCUUCAGCUAUGCUUGAACUUUUGAGGGCUGCAUUUUGAUCACUGACUGCUCAAAGCAAGAAAUUUGCAGGCUUGAGCUUCAGUAGAAAUGACCCCAUUCUGCAUUUCUCCCCUCACAAGCAGCAGAACAGCAGCUGCUCCAUGCCUGUAUGUGGCAUGGAGUAUGUCUAUGAGCUGCUGGCCUGUGGAUGUGCUUAUACUAAAGAACAAACAAACAAAAAACCCUCUUAAAUAUGUAAAAUUAUGUCAAGUUGAUUUUUAAAAAGGAAAAAAAGUCAUAUAUUUCACUUUUUUUUCUUCUCAUUUUCCCCUACUUGUAACAGAGGUGUCUGGCUUGUGUUUUAACAUGCCAACAUGUGGAUUGUUCCCCACUGAGAAAGACCCAUCGUUGUGUCAGAGUGAGACUUUGGUACAGCACAAAUACUGCCCUGCACCUUCCCUAAAAGAGCCCCUAUGUAUCACAAGGCCUAAUACAGCCUUAUCAGCCUGUGAAAAAGAAAUUGUGAAAUCUCUGCCCAUGACAGAAGCCAGCCUCAUUUUACAGCACAAAGCAAAUUAACUGGCCUCUAUGAUGUAGGUGGGUUUUUGUCUCUGAGUGCAUUUCAGCAAUCAUUAGAUAGGAGACAAUCCAUGCAGUAUUAUCUGUUGAGCAUCCCGUACAAUUUACAUUUCAUUUUUCAAAUCGUUUCCAGUCUCCCCCAAUUAAACCAGCAUUUUUACUGUGGUACGUGUACUGCUUAAGAGAUGAGGCUUUUUCCUAUUAGAGUCUUGUCAUUUUAUUUUGGCUUUGAAUUUUUAAACAAAUGUAAUAAAUUGUGACAGAGCACUGUGUUCACCCAACAUCUGGAUGCUUUUGUACAUUUCACAGUUAUCUCAGCCUCGUUAUGAUAAUUAAUACCAAUUUACCACGAUUCAAGCCAGCAUUUCUGCCCUUUACUAGAAUGAAGAAUUUUAAAAUCUUUUUCCCAGCUAUGGUUAUAGAUACGUUAAAGGGGUUUACAGGUGUUGAUAUGACUUUGGCUCAUUUCAAGCUUUGGAAAGCCACUGUGUUUUCCCACUGGUGCCAUGUCAUGCAGUCCUUUCCCAGGGGAGUCUGCCACCACCAUAUCUGCCUCCCUUCUGUCAACAGAAGGGACAUCUGCUGGCAUCUGUGGGUGCUGUGCGACAUCCUGUCCAGAUUCUGUACAGAUAUAGACACUCAGACUUGUUAUAUUCAUCCUCUUAGAUCUGGGCAUGACCAGCAAUCUGAAUGCAGAAAGGUACCUGGUAUUUGCAGUUCCACUAGUUCCAGCUAAUUAUUAUUGCUUAUUCUUAAUGCCCAUGGUCUUGUAGGACCUCACUGCAAUGUUUUGUUUUUCAGCAGCUUAGAAAAACAGUGGAAGACAUAAAAAAGCUUUUGGUACUGAUUGAUGUCUUCAGCCUGUGAGUUAAGCCAUUUGGCUGGAGUGGGGACACCUCUAUGCAGGUAUCCAGGACUAUUUUCAGGAGCAGUACCAGACCAUAACUUGAGUCACUGAGUCUCUGCACCAUAGUAGAUCAAAAGAAAUCCAGUAUUUCCCAUGAAAAGGUUCAGGAAGUGAAUAAACUGUGACAGGAGGAAAGGCAGUAGUGAUAUAGGCCUUGAAAACAUCGUGAGGUCUCUCCUUUUCCAGGAAGGACAGUGAGAUCAUCUCAUGUUGUUGUGCUUUAACCCAGCAGGUAGCCAAGCACCACUCAGCUGUUUACUCACUUGUCCCCCUUCCCAGUGGGAUGAGGGAGAGAACUGGGGAAAAAAAAUCAAAGUGGAAUUCGUGAGUUGAGAUAAAAACUAUUUACCAGGAUAGAGAAAAGGAAGCAGAAAAAAAGGGUAAUGGUUAUGACAAUUAUAUAUAUAUGUGUAACAAAUGAUGCACAAUUGCUCACCAUCAAAGUCCUGGUAGUCCCCAAGCAGCGUCAGGCCUCCCAGCGAACUCUCCCUUUUUCAAGCUUUCCUUCCGCAUGAUAUCCUAUAUUACGGAAUAUCCCUUUGGCCAGUUUAGGUCAGCUGUUCUGAUUCUGUCCCCUCCCAGCUCCUUGGGCCCUCCAGCCCUCUGACUGGCUGAGCAGUAGGAGAAGCUGAGAUAACGAAAACAUGCUUGACUCUGUACAGCACUGCUCAGCAACAACUAGAAAUGUCUCAUCAACAUUGUUUUUCUGCUAAAAUGAAAACAGCAUCAUACCAGACACUAUGAAGGAAAUCAACUCUGUCCUAGCUGAAACUAAGACACGUGAUCAUCAUGCUGUUUUGAUUGCUAUAUGCUUGUUUCUGGUACAGUAAAAUCUGGAUUAGGCCUCUGAAGUGCCUCACUAAAAAUUAAUAGCAAAGCAAUAUUGUAAAAAUCCAAGUACUCCACAAAACAGUGAUUCCCUUUUCAAAGACUGGCUGUAUGCACUCCUUUAUUGUAACAUACUCCAUGUGUAUGAAAUGGAUUAGGGGGAUAAGGACAAAAUGUACCUUACAGACAGUGCUGCCAAAAAACAACAGCUAAUUUUUGGCUUUAUAGGCAGUCCAAUGGUGGAGUGUUUCUCCUCGCGGGCACAUGACUGUGAUCCUAAGGGACAAGUUCCCUCAAGGAAGAGCUACUUUUAAUGAGUUCCCUUCUUGAUGGCAGUUUGUUUCAUCCCAACUGAGUUAGAGCUACGUAGAACAGGGUUUUUGGAUGACCGUAGAUUCCUUAGUUUAAGCCUGUUGCCUACUUUUUUAAAGUGUCCAUGAAGGUAAUUACUUCUCUGUUUUUCUAUGAGUCAUCACUUCAUCUGUUGCAUGAGUAAAAGGUAGGUUGACUCAAUCCAACUUCUGCAGAACCUUGAUGAACAAUACAUUGAUUAAGCCUUGUUUUCAGCGUAGAGUAGAAUUCAUCUUGAGAAAACAAAAGCAAAAUAAAAAUAUCAGUAAUUUGUUCUUUUCUUUAGCUGUCUUUGGACUUAGCUGAAUUGCAGAACAGUAUGGAGAGUCUCAAUCAUUUCUUUUUGUUUGUUGGUUUGACUAUACCAAAUGUGUUAUGGAGAACUGUAAUGAAAAUGUACCCAGAGAAAAAAGACUUAUGGAAGCUUUUUGUUUUAGUCAACAAAUACUUGCCACACCUGAACAUUAUUUUAUUGCCAAGUGGAUUGGGGUUACAGAAAAAAAGUUUUUUAAGUACAGUAAUAUAUAAUAUUAAUAAUAUCUCUUUCUGGAAGUUUCUAGACUGUUCCCAGGCAUAACCUUCACCAAUGUUAUAUGGAGAUCUUCAUGCAAACUUAUCAGCUUUGAAAAGGGACGAUGAGCUGUUAUGAAUUGUUCUGUACUGGAAGGAGGAAGAGGCCUGUGGCAGAACUACACAGACAAAAGCUUUCCUUUGGAGCUUACCAGUUUGACUAGGACUGAAUUGUGGCAAAGGCCUGGGGGAAAAACCCUUUCAAAUAAGUCUAACAUGUGCAUCUCAGGAAAAGCUUGAUGGAACCUAGCAGUGUGAAGAUUGAAUAGCCUGGUCAAAAAAAGACGAAGAUAAAGGAAUGAUAGAGAAGUAGUCUGAGUAAUUCCUCUGGAGGAUGUUUCGAGUUAUAUUUGCUGAAGGCUGUUUCAUCUUCCUGGCAAUCUUGAUUGAAAUAAAGUUGUACAUACUAUAUUUCAAACAUCCUUAUCUAUGGUAUACACAAAGAGCGAAUCUUAAAUUUCUAUGUCUGUAUAUGAGUAUAUGUUCUACUGCCUGUGAAACAAAAAAUGAUAAUUGAGAUGAUCUGCCAGAGGAGCUGAAGGAGCUGAAGUCUACCCAAAUGAAAUACAGCCAGUAUUAUCUGAGUACGGUAACUUUGGGUUUUUUUUGUUUUUUUUUUUUUUUUGUCUGAAGAAGAUCCAUCAUGUAUGUCAUCAGGAAGUAAAUAGAAGCUGUGUAGGACAAACCAUUUGUAUCUCAGUGUGCAGAGCUACAGAGCUGCCAGGGUGAUCAUCUUCUAACUUUGUUCCUGUAUGCUUGGUUCUCUGAAUUAUAUUUUUACAUGUA